ACCUUUCGGUUCUAUAUGGUCUGAAGGAAUUCUAUGCUGCAAACCGCGGUAAUCUAGCUGAAUUUCGAGACCUUGACAGGUUAGAAUCCUUGGAAAACUUGAACAUCUCCGGAUGCAUGUCCAUUGCACAAUGACCUUUCAAGUUCAAAUUAUCUGAGGCUAUUAUGUGUUGCAGAUUGCAAGAUCUGGCAAGUUUGAAUAUAUCUGUGAUUGCAUGUCCAUCGAUGCUUGACCUUUCAAGUUUAAAGAGUCUAAAAGAAUUUGGUGCUGCCAACUGCGAGAAUCUAAUUGAAGUUCGAGGUCUUGACAGGUUAAAAUCUCUGGAAAGGUUAAAUAUCUCUGGAUGCCCCAAAAUGAUUACAUGCUGCAAAUUGCUGGAAUCUUGUUGAAAUUCGUGGUCUUUUUACAGUUUGGAUUUACUGGCAAGUUUGAAUAUCUCUGGGUGCAUAUCUAUUGAAAGAUGACCAGACCUUUCCAGU